rnacentral:rRNA from 1 species
CAGGCCUAACACAUGCAAGUCGAGCGGAAACGAAGAGGUGCUUGCACCUCUGGCGUCGAGCGGCGGACGGGUGAGUAAUGCUUGGGAAUAUGCCUUAUGGUGGGGGACAACAGUUGGAAACGACUGCUAAUACCGCAUGAUGUCUACGGACCAAAGUGGGGGACCUUCGGGCCUCACGCCAUAAGAUUAGCCCAAGUGGGAUUAGCUAGUUGGUGAGGUAAUGGCUCACCAAGGCGACGAUCCCUAGCUGGUUUGAGAGGAUGAUCAGCCACACUGGGACUGAGACACGGCCCAGACUCCUACGGGAGGCAGCAGUGGGGAAUAUUGCACAAUGGGCGCAAGCCUGAUGCAGCCAUGCCGCGUGUGUGAAGAAGGCCUUCGGGUUGUAAAGCACUUUCAGUAAGGAGGAAAGGUUAAGUGUUAAUAGCAUUUAGCUGUGACGUUACUUACAGAAGAAGCACCGGCUAACUCCGUGCCAGCAGCCGCGGUAAUACGGAGGGUGCGAGCGUUAAUCGGAAUUACUGGGCGUAAAGCGUACGCAGGCGGUUUGUUAAGCGAGAUGUGAAAGCCCCGGGCUCAACCUGGGAACUGCAUUUGAAACUGGAUGGCUAGAGUGCGACAGAGGGUGGUAGAAUUUCAGGUGUAGCGGUGAAAUGCGUAGAGAUCUGAAGGAAUACCAAUGGCGAAGGCAGCCACCUGGGUCGACACUGACGCUCAUGUACGAAAGCGUGGGUAGCAAACAGGAUUAGAUACCCUGGUAGUCCACGCCGUAAACGAUGUCUACUAGCAGUUUGUCUCUUAAGAGAUGUCUUGCGCAGCUAACGCAUUAAGUAGACCGCCUGGGGAGUACGGCCGCAAGGUUAAAACUCAAAUGAAUUGACGGGGGCCCGCACAAGCGGUGGAGCAUGUGGUUUAAUUCGAUGCAACGCGAAGAACCUUACCAUCCCUUGACAUCCAGAGAAUUUUUCAGAGAUGAAUUAGUGCCUUCGGGAACUCUGAGACAGGUGCUGCAUGGCUGUCGUCAGCUCGUGUUGUGAAAUGUUGGGUUAAGUCCCGCAACGAGCGCAACCCUUAUCCUUAGUUGCUAGCAGGUAAUGCUGAGAACUCUAAGGAGACUGCCGGUGACAAACCGGAGGAAGGUGGGGACGACGUCAAGUCAUCAUGGCCCUUACGGGAUGGGCUACACACGUGCUACAAUGGCAAGUACAAAGGGUUGCGAACUCGCGAGAGUAAGCGGAUCCCAUAAAGCUUGUCGUAGUCCGGAUUGGAGUCUGCAACUCGACUCCAUGAAGUCGGAAUCGCUAGUAAUCGUGGAUCAGAAUGCCACGGUGAAUAUGUUCCCGGGCCUUGUACACACCGCCCGU